rnacentral:rRNA from 1 species
AGUCGAGGGGUAGAGGAAGCUUGCUUCCUUGAGACCGGCGCACGGGUGCGUAACGCGUAUGCAAUCUACCUUUUACAGGGGAAUAGCCCAGAGAAAUUUGGAUUAAUGCCCCAUAGUGUAAUUGAAUGGCAUCAUUUGAUUACUAAAGUUCCAACGGUAAAAGAUGAGCAUGCGUCCUAUUAGCUAGUUGGUGUGGUAACGGCACACCAAGGCAACGAUAGGUAGGGGUCCUGAGAGGGAGAUCCCCCACACUGGUACUGAGACACGGACCAGACUCCUACGGGAGGCAGCAGUGAGGAAUAUUGGACAAUGGGCGCAAGCCUGAUCCAGCCAUGCCGCGUGCAGGAAGAAGCAUCUAUGGUGUGUAAACUGCUUUUGUACGGGAAGAAACACUCCUACGUGUAGGAGCUUGACGGUACCGUAAGAAUAAGGAUCGGCUAACUCCGUGCCAGCAGCCGCGGUAAUACGGAGGAUCCAAGCGUUAUCCGGAAUCAUUGGGUUUAAAGGGUCCGUAGGCGGUUUAAUAAGUCAGUGGUGAAAUCUGGUCGCUCAACGAUCAAACGGCCAUUGAUACUGUUAGACUUGAAUUACUAGGAAGUAACUAGAAUAUGUAGUGUAGCGGUGAAAUGCUUAGAUAUUACAUGGAAUACCAAUUGCGAAGGCAGGUUACUACUAGUGGAUUGACGCUGAUGGACGAAAGCGUGGGGAGCGAACAGGAUUAGAUACCCUGGUAGUCCACGCCGUAAACGAUGGAUAC